AUUGAACGCUGGCGGCAUGCCUUACACAUGCGAGUCGAACGGCAGCACGGGUGCUUGCACCUGGUGGCGAGUGGCGAACGGGUGAGUAAUACAUCGGAACAUGUCCUGUAGUGGGGGAUAGCCCGGCGAAAGCCGGAUUAAUACCGCAUACGAUCUACGGAUGAAAGCGGGGGACCUUCGGGCCUCGCGCUAUAGGGUUGGCCGAUGGCUGAUUAGCUAGUUGGUUGGGUAAAGGCCUACCAAGGCGACGAUCAGUAGCUGGUCUGAGAGGACGACCAGCCACACUGGGACUGAGACACGGCCCAGACUCCUACGGGAGGCAGCAGUGGGGAAUUUUGGACAAUGGGCGAAAGCCUGAUCCAGCAAUGCCGCGUGUGUGAAGAAGGCCUUCGGGUUGUAAAGCACUUUUGUCCGGAAAGAAAUCCUUGGCCCUAAUACGGUCGGGGGAUGACGGUACCGGAAGAAUAAGCACCGGCUAACUACGUG
rnacentral:rRNA from 1 species